AUACGAAGGUCCCGAGCGUUGUUCGGAAUCACUGGGCGUAAAGGGAGCGUAGGCGGUUUGGUAAGUCAGAUGUGAAAUCCCGGGGCUCAACCCCGGAACUGCAUCCGAUACUGCCAGACUUGAGUAAUGGAGGGGUAGCUGGAAUUCUCGGUGUAGCAGUGAAAUGCGUAGAUAUCGAGAGGAACACUCGUGGCGAAGGCGAGCUACUGGACAUUUACUGACGCUGGGGCUCGAAGGCCAGGGUAGCGAAAGGGAUUAGAAACCCCAGUAGUCC
rnacentral:rRNA from 1 species